UCAGCGGGUCCCAGCUGACGGAAGGUGGGGGAGGAGUGCGAGGGUCUCUGAGACAGGUUGGGAGCCAGCCCCACCUCCAUUUCCAAAGCGGGGGUCCAGGCACAGGAACAGCCAAACGCCCGAACCAGCGGGGUUACCUUUGCCACUUCAUCCAAUCCGAGCAUCGGCUGACAAGUUUAUUUAAUCCCUGAACCUGGAUCCAAGGCAUCUCCCUGUAGAAAACAUCAGACCGGGGCAGAGAUUGACAAAGCAACCCAAAGCAGCAGCUGCCAACGGCCGCUGUGCCCACCUCAUCAGCAGCUAAAGAGUAUAAUUUUAAAAAAAGUCACAGAAGAAUGUGGAGACACUUAGCAAAACGGACUCUCAUAAGGUUCCCUAUUUUGUCAGUAAGGAAGUAAACAACCGCUAAAACAACCCUCUAACAACAGAAGACCCUCAUGAGAACACCAGGCAGCAGAAGCUUCUUUAGCAGUAAAAGAUAUCUGGAUAUUCAUAUUUUGUUCCAUGAUCUUCAACAUUAAAUAAAUAAACUUAAUAUUCAAGUCUCC